rnacentral:lncRNA from 1 species
CUCUGGAGCAAAGGGUAUGCAUGACUUAGUAACUUUUGGAAACACAGGUCUAAAUUGCUUUCCAAAAUGGAUUUACCAACAGUGCUUUCAGUAGAGUGUCUAUAAAUGUUUAAUAACUGGCUCUCUGAGGGAGGAAAUGUGCACAUAGCCCAUUUUAAAGUUUAAUCUGCGUUAUUAAUAUUUUUUUCCCUGACACAAAUCAAUGGAAUAGAUUAGUUUAACCUUGAUGCAAUGUAGGUACCCAGUGUUCUGGGAGUUUCUCCCAGCAUCAGGUUUUGGUUUCACUUUUUCACAGUCCAAAGUCCGCUCACCGUUCUCCAGCUCUCUUCUCUUGACAUCAGAUGUGUGCAUUUAAUUGCUUCUCUUUCCUUUUAAUACCAGGGGAAAAAACUCUGUUGCUUUGAAGUUCAAUGAACCAGAUGGCGGAUAUUCUGAAAUUUUUUCCGAUCUAAAAGAACAUGGAACAAAAGCCAAGAAACGAGUGCUGCACCUGCCUCCCAGCUUCAGACUGAAGAAGAGAUAUUCAUCAACUGAAUCUGUGAUAAAAUGGAAAAAAAUUGUAUGCUCUCAGAUAAUGGAAUAUUUCAAAUCUUGGAAAGGGAAGAAGUGGGAAAGAAGGUAGCCUGCAGUGAAAAAAUUCACCUUUUUGUCAGAUGAUCAAUAAACUCCAGAGAAAGAUACUUUGAAAAAUAAAC